rnacentral:rRNA from 1 species
UACAGAGGGUGCGAGCGUUGUCCGGAAUCACUGGGCGUAAAGGGCGCGUAGGUGGUGGCUUAAGCGUGCGGUGAAAGCUCGGGGCUCAACUCCGAGUCGGCCGUGCGAACUGGGCUCACUGGAGCAUAGUAGAGGCAGGUGGAAUUCCGGGUGUAGCGGUGGAAUGCGUAGAGAUCCGGAAGAACACCGGUGGCGAAGGCGGCCUGCUGGGCUAUGGCUGACACUGAGGCGCGGACAGCGUGGGGAGCAAACAGG